ensembl:lncRNA
AGAGAAUGUGUGAAGUCCAUCUGAAUGAGCGGUUACUAUAGAAACGAUAACGUAUUCGAACGAGCGGUCCUGCCAGAGCUGCUGACCAAUCAGAAUCCAGAAUUCAACAGUGAUGGUAAAAAAAAAACUUAGUUUCACGUUGUGGGAUUUCCUGUAACAGCACGACGUGAUGUGUGUUUACUUGGAAAAUGUCUGAAACGUGUAAAACAACAACAACAACAACAACAACAACAACAGUUAUUGAGAGUAAUUAGCGCUAUGCUAUCUCAUUCGUACAAAUGAGAAAAUGAGAAAUAGUUUUUUUUCCCUUCAAGUUAAGGAUCUCAGGCAGAUCUUUGUUCAAGCCGAUCAUGCGGACACUCGGACCUGCACCUCGAUCAGUAGUCGACCGCGAGGCGAGUGCGCCGUGCUCAGAGAGAGAAUCGCUUGGUCUCGCGGGGAGACGGUGCAGCUCAGAGGUGAGACUCCACGCAGACAGAGAGGUGAAUAAUAAAUAAAAAGGAAGGCUGUAUACACACCUGGGUUUAUUCGAUGCACACACAAACACACACCGAGUCCUCACGUACGCGUAUGCAGAGAAAACUGAAUUCAGUAUUCAGUAAUGACGUCUGCCUUCAGAUUUCAUCGACGGGUUCUCCGGCAUUGCUCACUCGCAGAACUUCCACGCUUUCGCUCCCUCGAACAUGUCACUUCCUGUCAUUUCUAAAUCUAUCUCGGACUAUUGUUUUUUCUCCACGCGACUCCUUUCCUGACCGGUGUCUGGUGACUCGUCAUCACCCGAACGAGAACGUGAAGAUCCCAACAUCUUCAGUUUUCGCUUGCUCUCACGCUACAGGGUUCGAAACGAGGAAGUGGGUUUUACUGACAAAUGCCACACGCUGAAAAAAAGGAAAAAGACACACACACACACACACACACCCCAACAGGAAACGGAGGCCGAGCCGAGCUCAUAGCCAUCGACUGGCACGAAAUGAUGCUGUGUGUCUUUCAGCUCUCGUUUAAAGUGCAAUGCUAAUGCUAAUGCUAAUAGCAUUUCAGUGUUUAUGAUUAGAUGUUGGAGUUGGCUAGCAGGUUCAUUAGCAGGUUCAUUAGCAGGUUCAUUAGCAGGUUCAUUAGCAGGUCACAGGAAUAAUUGGUUUUACCUUUAAGAGGAAAAUCGAAUGCAGAUUUCUCAGUACUAUCUACUAGUCGAUAUGGUGAAUUCUUCUGUAAGGAGACGUGUUUAUUUAGCAUUUACGGAAGGAAGGAGUCUCCAGUGCCAGCGCUAUGUAACCGUCAGAGGUAAAGCUGGAACUUUUUGUAAAGUUUUCCGACAUCUAACCCGAGGAUGAUGAGUUUAAC